ACGUUAUUUCACCUCCCGUAACAGGAGGUGGGUUCGAACCGUUUCGCACCUAGUUUCCUCUUCACAAGGCACCAGCGGCAGCCGCGAUUUUUCCCGUGUUAUUUCUGGCAGGCGUUUAGUCCCUCAGGUACAAGAUCUUCAUGUAACAAGAAGCAGCUUCAUUCCUCCAGAUAUAAAGCAAAGAUGAAAUAGAACUGUCAUGAGGCAACUGGAAAAACACUGCACACAAAGUAUUAUUUCAUAAAUAACAGAGUGAAUGUUCUACGCUGGCUAGGAUCAAAGGCUACAGGUUCCAUUUCCAGCUCAGCCACAGACUGCUUAACACCACACCUCAACCCUUCAUCUGUUUGCUGUGGAUAAAAUACAGUGAGAUUCCUUAUGUUACAUUAGAUUUGCUGGUACAGCCAAGUAUCUGUAAUGAGAUGUGGGGCAUAACUGUACUUAAAAAUCUUGCCAUAAACACUUUUCACAGUUUCAACAACAACAAAAUGCCAUUUGCCUGUAUUACUACCAGUAGUAUUAAGACAGUCAUACUUUACAGUGUACCAUUGUAAAUAAAGAGACAAAGAACUCAAGCUGUAAAGUACAACACUGAGGGGAAAAUGCAAGAGAUUCUGUCUUGUCAACGUAUAUAACCUUUUCACUGCCUGUAUGCAAACAUUCAAUGAUCUACAAGUGCUUGGAGCCACCAAAACAGUGGUCAGGGUGGGUGGGGAGGAUAACACCCAAAACCACCACUACCACCCUGAAAAUCAAAAAGCAGCACUCAGUUUGAGUUCACUGUCAUGUUCCUGGCAAAACGUCUGCUGAAGCACUACAGAGAUUUUUAUGGGCCUAGUGGAGACGCUGAAGAAAUACAAACAAAUCAUUGAAUACCAGCAGUGAGAGAUAAACAGUUUCAAAUGCUUCGUAGGACUAGAAUCCCUUUGCAGCCAGAUUUAGUGCCAAGAUGAAGACUUGGAAGGCUUCUGUCAGACUAUUUCCAAUUACAGUGGUUUAUGAAAACACAGGGGAUAUAGUACGCCUUGAUGAGAAAAACCAGUGUAUAUAUAUGCUCAUCAUCCUUGAGCAGAAAGCACUGAGGUAACACGAGAAAAUGCCAUAUUUUUACCUCCAGCUUCAGCAGUUCCACCUGGCUCUCUGUGGUCUUAAGUUUUGAGCAGAUCUUUGGACUACAAGCUGUUUGCAAGAUUCUUGCCAUCAUCUUGCGAAUGGAUGACAGUGGAUAAAAUCCAACACUGGACUCAAAGGUAAAAUAAUUAUAUGUAGGAGUAUUAAAAAAAUUUAUCCAACUUCAUCUUUUUUUUCUUCUUUGGCAUCUCUACCCCUUUGACAGCACAGCAUAACAAAACCUGUAGAGCUCUGUCUGUUCAUUUGGGAGCACAGCAAAUUUUACUGUGUCAUGUAGAAGUCUUCUAAAUAAAUUCAGUUAUGAAACAGACGCUCCUUCUUCCUUUACCAGGAGGAGCAGCAGGGGAAGAAAAACCAAAGACUUUUCUGAUCUUCAUAGUCUGACCUAUGCCUACAAUUUGUUCCUAGCCACAGCUUUUAGAAAAUUCACACUUAAAAAACACCAAUAAACACGGUACAAAAUAAAGGCAAUAUGAAGAACAUUCAAGGAUGAGAAGGACUGCAUUACAUUUACUUCUGUGUGACUAAGUGUGUUAAUUUUCAGCAGCUACCUGCUUGUUGAGAAACAUGUUGGAAGGUAGGGCAGUCACAAGCGUAUGCCUACUCUGCUUGAAAACAUUAAGUUGUGCCAGUUUAAAAGCAAACAUUUAUGGCCAGAUCCUAUGGGAUUUGUUUUUGCACAGUCUGCUUGCACGAGGAAAAAAAUACAAUAUACAUCUCUAGCUUGCUAAAAACUUUCAUUACAGCACUAGUUGACAAAGAGAAAGCUCAUGCCUUCUCCUUAACCCCAGAUAAACUGACAAAUGUCACAUUAUUUAACAUUUGGACAUACUAAAAUGAAGCCAAAUAGAGCAUACUGGAAGCUGAAAACACUUUCCAGGCUCAGUUACAUGAAACUUUGUAGAUCUUUCACAGAAUCUUUAACCUCAUGAAGUUCAACAAGGAGAAGUGCAAAGUCCUAUACCCAUAGAAGAACAUCCCCAUGCACCAACAUAGGCUGGGGCCACUCAGCUGGAAAACAGCGUGGCAGAAAAGGACCUUGGAGUCCUGGUGGACACCAACCUGAAUAUAAACCAGCAGCAGGGCAAUAAGGCAAAUGGUAUCCUGGGCUGCAUUAGACUAAGUUUUGCCAUGUUAGUUCACACCUGGGGUACUAGGUCCAGUUCUGGCUUCUUUGGUACAAGAGAAAUAUAGACACACUGAAGAGAGUCCUACAAAGGAAUGCUAAGAUGACCAAGGGACUGGAACAUCUUUCCUAUGAGGAAGGGCUGAGAGAGCUGGACUGCUCAGCCUGGAGAAGGUUCAGGAGCAUUUCAUCAAUGUGUAUAAAUACGUGAAGGAAGGGUAUAAAGGUGGAUUCAGGCUCUUUUCAGUGGCACCUAGUGGCAUGACAAGAGGCAAUGGACACAAAAAUGAAACACAGGAGGCUGUGUGAACAUCAGGAAACACUUGCUGACUGUGGUGGUGACUAACAGGUUGUCCAGGGAGUCUCCAGCCUUUGAGAUAUUCAAAAGCUGCCUGGCCAUGGAUCUGGGCAACUGGAUCCAGGGGAACUUGCUUGAGCAGAGGGGCUGGACCACCAUACCUCCAGAGGUGCCUUCCAACCUCAGCCAUGUCGUGAUUCUCUAAUAGCUUCAGAAUUUUUAUGUGCACUUUACAGACACCAGCGUAGUGUUUCCAUAUUCUAAAUGACCUGAAAGUCAGGUUUUGUGCAUGUAUGCACACAUGCACAUAUGCACACAAACAUCCUCAUUCAUUUUAAAAGAUAAGACAAUCAGGAUUUAAUUAUUUUGCCAUUUCAAGAAUUUCACAUCCCAAGGCCUCCCCAGAAAAACCCCACCUAGCCUGAAAAGUCAUGGUGAAUCUACUGCAUAUGAACAGUUUCUGAGAGGGGAAAAGGACACUGUUAUUCCUGAGUUAAGAAUGUCAGAAUAGUCUGUCAAGCUAAUGAAGGAGUUGCCUGCUGAAAAAAGUCCCCGAUUUAAGAAAAAGAAUAAAGAAAAGCCUCAAAAGCCACCAAAGUUCUCCCCUGUAUUUUGUCAGCAUUCAAGUGACAUCCAUACUUCAGAAUUAACAGAAAUGCACCAGUUAACUGGGGCAUUAAAGCAACCUCGGUAGAGCUGGACAGUUUGUAAAGUUCAUUAGCACCCAGAUUACCUUCCUACAGACUCUUUAAGCCCCUCACAAUCGUCUGAAAGAUCAUUAGAUUCUGACACAUCGUUCUUAUAUAUCCAAAUGACCUUUCAGAUAUGCUGUUCAGGUUUCACUGUUAGCACUGCAUGCCAAAUGUCACCAAAAUUUUUUCAAGUUAAGUGUCACCAGAAGACAUUUUGACAGGCCAUUUUGUCACUAGAUAUAGCAACAGAAUUACGUUACGCUGGAGGUGAGGCAGGGAGUGAAAGAGAGAAAAAGCAUCUGAUCCCUAGUCAGUGCAGCAUUGCUUUUGGUACCUUCUAUAGUUUGUCAGUGUAUACACGGUGCUUUUUUGAGGAAGGAGAGGCCAUUACUCCAUGUAGCUCAAGGCUCCUGGCAUCCUCAGUUUUCACAGGGCAUUUUAAGAGGUCAACAGAGCUGGAGAAAACAGGCAGCAUGGGCUGCAUUAGAGGGCAGCUCCUCAGUUGCAAGUACCACCUAGGUUUCCAAAAAGGGGCAGCUUUUCCCAGAGUAACCAGUUUCAAUGAAUGCAGACUGAUACACCACUUUCCAAGACCUCACAUGUAGUUUGGCACAUGAUCACAGAACAAUCUCAUCUUUUCUGAGGCGCAAGCUCAGCUUACACCCCAUCACACAGCAAAAAGCAGGGCAUACACCACACGGUGCACCAAGAUUGCCAGAAUGAACACAACCAGUCCUGUACCUCUAGGUGCAAAGAAGGCAGGCACACUAAUACUUCAAGAGGAUUAGGGGAGACAGGGGAGAGAAGAGGAAAGAUGCACUGUUUACAAGUCUGAGUGUCCAUCCUUUGACUAGCUAGUCUUUUCCUUCUGAAGAACUUCAUGGAACAAGAUGACCCAAUUCAAACAAACAUCAGAAAAAGUCUACCGUAUUUUUUGAACCAAUUGGUACAAAUGAAAACCAUGAGAAACUGAGUGUGAAUGAGCAAACGAUCAGAAGACAGGAACCCAUACAGCUUCCACAGCCAAGAACAAUUUGCCAUAAAAGGAGUUCCUGGUAACUGCCAGAAAGCUGAAAUAUUUCUAAGGAUUAUUCAGCAAGUGGACAAGUAGGAAACCUUGGGUCAGGACCACUUUCUAAUGCUUGUCUCUUUCCACUUUGAAAUUGUUGUCUUUUAUCAGCACCAUGAGCACACGGGGCUUACAGAGGAAAAAGCUUCCCUAUCCUUAGGAGCAUGGCUGCACCUUCAAAUGGGCUUCAGCAGCAUUUGGGAACAGUUCACCUGACUACCACCAACGUUACAGGGUGCUCA